rnacentral:rRNA from 1 species
GACGAACGCUGGCGGCGUGCUUAAUACAUGCAAGUCGAACGGAAAGGCCCUGUACUUGUGGGAUGCGCGUGUGGCGAAAGGGUGAGUAAAACGUGAGUAACCUGUCCCUGACAUUGGGAUAACAUCAGGAAACAGGGGUUAAUAUCGGAUAUGAACACCUGCUGCAUGGGGGGGGUUGGAAAGAUGCGGCGGUUCGGGAAGGACACGUGGUCCAUCAGCGUGUUGGUGAGGUAGUGGCUUAACAAGGCUUGGACGGGAAGCCGGACUGAGAGGGUGACCGGCCACAUAGGCACAGGGAUGCGGCCAGUACUCAUACGGGAGGCAGCAGUGAGGGAUAGUCCGCGAUGGGCGGAGGCCGUAUGGAGCAACGUCGCGUCCUAGAUGACGGCCUUCAGAUUGUAACCCGCUUUCGCCUGUGACGAAGCGUAAGUGACGGUAAUGGGUAAGAAAGCAACGGCUAACUACGUG